rnacentral:sRNA from 1 species
UACAGUAUUGCCUGGUUCACCAUCCUCAC